rnacentral:rRNA from 1 species
GGAGUUAGCCGGUGCUUCUUCUGUGAGUGAUGUCCUUCCUGCCGGUUAUUGACCCGCAGGCCUUCUUCCUCACUGAAAGUGCUUUACAACCCGAAGGCCUUCUUCACACACGCGGCAUGGCUGGAUCAGGGUUGCCCCCAUUGUCCAAUAUUCCCCACUGCUGCCUCCCGUAGGAGUCUGGGCCGUGUCUCAGUCCCAGUGUGGCUGAUCAUCCUCUCAGACCAGCUACGGAUCGUCGCCUUGGUGAGCCGUUACCUCACCAACCAGCUAAUCCGACAUAGGCUCAUCCGAUAGCGCGAGGCCCGAAGGUCCCCCGCUUUCCCCCGUAGGGCGUAUGCGGUAUUAGCCUGGGUUUCCCCAGGGUUACUCCCCCACUACCGGGCAGAUUCCUAUGCAUUACUCACCCGUCCGCCGCUCGCCACCAGGGAGCAAGCUCCCCGUGCUGCCGCUCGACUUGCAUGUGUUAGGCCUGCCGCCAGCGUUCAAUCUGAGCCAGGAUCAAACUCUGA